GCGGAUACGUCCGCGCGGGAUGUGGCCCUCUGAGGCUGAACCACAAA
rnacentral:ncRNA from 1 species